rnacentral:rRNA from 1 species
ACGAACGCUGGCGGCGUGCCUAAUACAUGCAAGUAGAACGCUGAAGGCGGAGCUUGCUUCUCUGGAUGAGUUGCGAACGGGUGAGUAACGCGUAGGUAACCUGCCUGGUAGCGGGGGAUAACUAUUGGAAACGAUAGCUAAUACCGCAUAAGAGUAGAUGUUACAUGACAUUUGCUUAAAAGGUGCAAUUGCAUCACUACCAGAUGGACCUGCGUUGUAUUAGCUAGUUGGUGGGGUAACGGCUCACCAAGGCGACGAUACAUAGCCGACCUGAGAGGGUGAUCGGCCACACUGGGACUGAGACACGGCCCAGACUCCUACGGGAGGCAGCAGUAGGGAAUCUUCGGCAAUAGACGGAAGUCUGACCGAGCAACGCCGCGUGAGUGAAGAAGGUUUUCGGAUCGUAAAGCUCUGUUGUAAGAGAAGAACGAGUGUGAGAGUGGAAAGUUCACACUGUGACGGUAUCUUACCAGAAAGGGACGGCUAACUACGUG